GACGAACGCUGGCGGCGUGCUUAACACAUGCAAGUCGAACGGAAAGGCCCUGCUUUUGUGGGGUGCUCGAGUGGCGAACGGGUGAGUAACACGUGAGUAACCUGCCCUUGACUUUGGGAUAACUUCAGGAAACUGGGGCUAAUACCGGAUAGGAGCUCCUGCUGCAUGGUGGGGGUUGGAAAGUUUCGGCGGUUGGGGAUGGACGCGCGGCUUAUCAGCUUGUUGGUGGGGUAGUGGAUUACCAAGGCAUUGAGGGGUAGCCGGCCUGGGAGGGUGACCGGCCACAUUGGGCUUGGGAUACGGCCCAGAGUCCUACGGGAGGCAGCAGUGGGGAACAUUGCACAAUGGGCGGAAGCCUGAUGCAGCAACGCCGCGUGCGGGAUGACGGUCUUCGGGUUGUAAACCUCUUUCGCCUGUGACGAAGCGUGAGUGACGGUAAUGGGUAAAGAAGCACCGGCUAACUACGUG
rnacentral:rRNA from 1 species